GAAACUUAGGAUAGACCUAAACCAAAG
rnacentral:tRNA from 2 species